UACGUAGGGGGCAAGCGUUGUCCGGAUUUAUUGGGCGUAAAGAGCGUGUAGGCGGUUUGGUAGGUCCGCUGUGAAAACUCGAGGCUCAACCUCGAGACGCCGGUGGAAACCAUCAGACUAGAGUCCGGAAGAGGAGAGUGGAAUUCCUGGUGUAGCGGUGAAAUGCGCAGAUAUCAGGAAGAACACCCGUGGCUAAGGCGGCUCUCUAGUACGGUACUGACGCUGAGACGCGAAAGCUAGGGGAGCAAACAGG
rnacentral:rRNA from 1 species